rnacentral:lncRNA from 1 species
AAAUGUAAAAUAAAUCUAUCCUAUCUUGCAUAUCGUUAACACACAAAAAAUCGAAAAGGACUUCUUCCGGCUUUGCAAUGACAGAGUCCAGAAAAGUUUCAACGGACUGCAUUUAUUUCUAAUGUUCUUCUUCCUCAAAGUCUGGUUGCUCCCCAAAGUUCUGAGCCUUCCCCCACCCUUGCCUCAGACCUUUAAGACCAAAGACUGUAAAACCACAGGGCUGGAAGGGCCAACUCUGAGGACCAGCCUCGGGCCACACCCAGGAGCUGGAGGGCUUUUUGCCUCCUGGGAGAAGGAGUUGGGGCCUCGCCAGAGCUGGGGAGGUGGGGGGGAGGACACAUCCCUUCAGAUUCCAAUGGGUUUCCCAUCCCCUCUGUCAGCCUUGCUGUGACUGUGUGGGCAUUAGUGAGAGGG